rnacentral:rRNA from 1 species
UACGGAGGGUGCGAGCGUUGUUCGGAAUCACUGGGCGUAAAGCGCGUGUAGGCGGCCCAUUAAGUCUGAUGUGAAAGCCCGGGGCUCACCCCCGGAAGUGCAUUGGAAACUGAUGGGCUGGAGUCCCGGAGAGGAGGGUGGAAUUCCCAGUGUAGAGGUGAAAUUCGUAGAUAUUGGGAAGAACACCGGUGGCGAAGGCGGCCAUCUGGACCGCAACUGACGCUGAGGCGCGAAAGCGUGGGGAGCAAACAGG